rnacentral:snoRNA from 1 species
AAGACCAUAAUUUCAGGGAUUAUUUCUAGAGUUUAUUACUGGAGAAGUUUCUUUGAAUGUAUAGACUACUAAAAACCACGUUAUCUCCUGACUGUAAAGCUGCCUCUUGGUAUUGCUUUAUUUCAAUUGCCAUUUGCCACUAAUGAUUGUUCUUCUUUUCUUGUGGAGAGUAAGGGGGAGAGGACACAGUCUGGGUGGG